GAUGAACGCUGGCGGCGUGCUUAACACAUGCAAGUCGAACGGAAAGGCUCCUGCUUGCAGGGGUUCUCGAGUGGCGAACGGGUGAGUAACACGUGUGUGAUCUGCCCUGCACUUCGGGAUAAGCCUGGGAAACUGGGUCUAAUACCGGAUAGGACGAUGCGUUGGAUGCCAUUGUGGAGAGUUUUUCGGUGUGGGAUUAGCUCGCGGCCUAUCAGCUUGUUGGUGGGGUAAUUGCCUACCAAGGCGUCGACGGGUAGCCGGCCUGAGAGGGUGUACGGCCACAAUGCGACUGAGAUACGGCCCAGAAUGCUACGGGAGGCAGUAGUGGGAAACAUUACAGAGUAGGGGCAAGCCUGAUGCAGCGACGCCGCGUGGGGGAUGCUGGCCUUCGGGUUGUAAACUCCUUUCGAUAGGGACGAAGCGCAAGUGACGGUACCUGGAGAAGAAGCACCGGCUAACUACGUG
rnacentral:rRNA from 1 species